GGUGAUCAUGGACUCGUCACUCGAUCGAUGCAAAACCGUAUUAGCAGUCGCGUCGGCGGCGGCGACGCGACAGGAAACGGGAUCGUCGCCUACUCGCCUCCGCGGCUUCGUCUCAUCGACUCAUCGGAUCGAUCAGCCGAUGCCGUUGUUGCCUUCCUCUCUCAAGUUUCAGACUUGUCGCAUCGAUCGGCGACCGACUCCAAGUGCUUCACAGCUUCCAUCCUCUAGGUGCUUCACGGAUUCAAAACAGAGAUCGGUUCUCGCCUCCUCCGUUAACAAUCACAGUGUAGCAGUUCAACGGGACAUGACACAAGACUAGGUGAGUUAGACUGUUCGUCUAAUUGUGAAACAUUGACACAUGAUUUUCAAUUGAUAUCUAUGCGUAUCACUACAAUUUUAUUUUAUUCACCUUUUUUGUCUUGUGUUUCAAUAAUACAUAUUUGAGUCAUUAUGAGAAAACAUCAGUCUGGUUUUA